rnacentral:rRNA from 1 species
UACGUAGGGGGCGAGCGUUGUCCGGAGUUACUGGGCGUAAAGCGCACGCAGGCGGUCUGCUAAGUUUUGGAGUGACAGUUGGUGGCUUAACUGCCAAAGUGCUUCGAAAACUGACAGACUUUGAGGGCUUCAGAGGGACACGGAAUCCGGGUGGAGUGGUGAAAUGCGUUAGAGAUCCGGAGGAACACCAAAGGCGAAGGCAGUGUCCUGGGGAGAACUGACGCUGAGGAGCGAAAGCGUGGGGAGCGAACAGG